rnacentral:rRNA from 1 species
AACCUCCCACCCGUGUCUAUCGUACCUUGUUGCUUCGGCGGGCCCGCCGUUUCGACGGCCGCCGGGGAGGCCUUGCGCCCCCGGGCCCGCGCCCGCCGAAGACCCCAACAUGAACGCUGUUCUGAAAGUAUGCAGUCUGAGUUGAUUAUCGUAAUCAGUUAAAACUUUCAACAACGGAUCUCUUGGUUCCGGCAUCGAUGAAGAACGCAGCGAAAUGCGAUAAGUAAUGUGAAUUGCAGAAUUCAGUGAAUCAUCGAGUCUUUGAACGCACAUUGCGCCCCCUGGUAUUCCGGGGGGCAUGCCUGUCCGAGCGUCAUUGCUGCCCUCAAGCACGGCUUGUGUGUUGGGCCCCCGUCCCCCUCUCCCGGGGGACGGGCCCGAAAGGCAGCGGCGGCACCGCGUCCGGUCCUCGAGCGUAUGGGGCUUUGUCACCUGCUCUGUAGGCCCGGCCGGCGCCAGCCGACACCCAACUUUAUUUUUCUAAGGUUGACCUCGGAUCAGGUAGGGAUACCCGCUGAACUUAAGCAUAUCAUA